rnacentral:rRNA from 1 species
GUCUAAACCAAUGCCAUCCUGGACAAGCCCGAUUCUGUCUGAUCUCAGAAGCUAAGCAGGGUCGGGCCUAGUUAGUACUUGGAUGGGAGACCACCUAGGAAAACCAGGUGCUGUAGGCG